rnacentral:rRNA from 1 species
AUACGUAGGAGGCAAGCGUUGUCCGGAAUUAUUGGGCGUAAAGCGCGCGCAGGUGGUUCCUUAAGUCUGAUGUGAAAGCCCCCGGCUCAACCGGGGAGGGUCAUUGGAAACUGGGGAACUUGAGUGCAGAAGAGGAUAGUGGAAUUCCAAGUGUAGCGGAGAAAUGCGUAGAGAUUUGGAGGAACACCAGUGGCGAAGGCGACUGUCUGGUCUGUAACUGACACUGAGGCGCGAAAGCGUGGGGAGCAAACAGGAUUAGAUACCCUGGUAGUCCACGCCGUAAACGAUGAGUGCUAAGUGUUGGGGGGUUUCCGCCCCUCAGUGCUGCAGCUAACGCAUUAAGCACUCCGCCUGGGGAGUACGGUCGCAAGACUGAAACUCAAAGGAAUUGACGGGG